GUCGUCUUCAUCCCGGAGACGGAUUCCUGCACGAGUUCUUCACUGUCCCGACCCAAAUCUUCGAUGGAUUUGAUCCAUUCUUGACCUCUCUCCCACGCCCUACCCUUUAUAUAUUCUUCCCAACUCGUCCUAGUCCGGUUUUCGCCAAAAUCUCCGUCUCCUGUGCCCUACAGAGCCGCCCCGAUCUCGCCGGAGUCCGCCGGCCGAAGCUCCUGUCGCCGGUCUCUUUCGCCGCCGUCAAAGGGGGAGCACCAGGACGACCGCAACGACCUUGGUCCGGAGCUCAACUCCGCCGCCGCCGCUCCAGCCGCUCGCCAUCGUCGACGUCGCCAAGAUCACCCCCGAGGAAGCCCGCACCCGUAGGACACCCCCUAUUCGCCGGAGGACCUCCGUGGCCGUCACCUGCAUCACCAUCGAACCGUCCGCAUGUCGUUCUUCCCCAAGUCCGGCGGUCUUCUCCUGUUUCUCCGAUUGUCCGGAGUGUAAAGCGGAUCAGAAUUAAGCAUUAGAGUACUUCAACAUCGUUGAAGGCAAGUUUGCACUUUGAUUUUUCUUAUCCUAUAUUCUGCUAUGCAAGUGUAGUUUUAUGUUAUGCUAUAUGUUUGGCUUGAUAUGUGUAUUCCGUGUUACCAUGUUUUGUUGUUGAUUGUGGUAUGUGAUGGUGUGAUCAACUUGCUAUGGUAGACGCGGGUAUGUGUCGAGUGAUCCAUGAAAGUGGUGAGUGUUUAUAGACAUAGGCUUGGGAUCAUUAACCAGGUGAAUGCGUCACUGGCAGAGCGCUCUAUUGUCCCUAGAGAAUGCGCCAUUGGUAGAGCGCACUUGAGGCGAGGUAUAGUUUUCGGAAUAUAAAUCAGGUGAAUGUGUCCUUCGUAGAGCGCUCUAUUGCUCGUAGAGAAUGCGCCACUGAUAGAGCGCACUUGUGAGAUACUUCUGAAGUUCUUGUCAUGUUUAUUUAGAAUUUUUGGGUUAUCUUGGGUGAGUAAAUUAGAGACGGUUGUGAAUUCAG